rnacentral:rRNA from 1 species
AUUGAACGCUGGCGGCAUGCCUUACACAUGCAAGUCGAACGGUAACAGGUCUUCGGAUGCUGACGAGUGGCGAACGGGUGAGUAAUACAUCGGAACGUGCCUAGUAGUGGGGGAUAACUACUCGAAAGAGUGGCUAAUACCGCAUGAGAUCUACGGAUGAAAGCAGGGGAUCGCAAGAACUUGUGCUACUAGAGCGGCCGAUGGCAGAUUAGGUAGUUGGUGUGAUAAAAGCUUACCAAGCCGACGAUCUGUAGCUGGUCUGAGAGGACGAUCAGUCACACUGGGACUGAGACACGGCCCAGACUCCUACGGGAGGCAGCAGUGGGGAAUUUUGGACAAUGGGCGCAAGCCUGAUCCAGCAAUGCCGCGUGCAGGAUGAAGGCCUUCGGGUUGUAAACUGCUUUUGUACGGAACGAAAAGCCCCGGGUUAAUACCCUGGGGUCGUGACGGUACCGUAAGAAUAAGCACCGGCUAACUACGUGCCAGCCGCCGCCGUAA